AAUAAUGGAUGAAGAGAGAAACCCCCCCCCCGUUUUUCCCCCUCCGCACUCAAACCCGCUCCGCCUGCCAAGCUCCGGCUCUGCUUUCCGGACUGCCGGCCCCCCCCUCGCCCCGCAGCAGGACAAUCGGACAGACGGACGGACGGACGGACGGACGGCGCAAGGGCACGGGCAGGGAGGGCAGGAGGGGAUCCGGGGGUCAGCGCUGGGUGCCCCCUGCCCGCUGCCCGGCCGGGGACCCCCUCAGCCGCCCCGGACGAGGCUGUUUGGGGAUUCUUUUCUUUUUCUCGUCCCUCCCCGUCCGCCGGGGUUGCUCUUGCCGGAUGGACACCGAUGGGUGUUGGUGAAGCGCUGACCCCCACCAGGCUCCGGCAGCGUCGCCAGCGGGGCUCGGAGACGCCGCCGUCACCAGCCACAGCACCCCCAGCCCUGCGCCCCCCACCCAUCCCGGCCGCCGGAGCAGAGAGGAGAGCAGAGGAGAGGAGGGGGCCACCUCCGGAGGGGACCCCGCCCCUGCCGCCCCCGCUUCGCCCCCGGCCCCCGCCUCGGCCGUGGCGCCGGCGCCGCGUUCUCUCUCUCCUCCCAGCCAGAAGCAGAGGGACUCUUUAAGUUUUAUUUUUUAUUUGAUUAAUUUUCAUUUCCCGCACAAAACCAGCAAUUGUAAAUACUUUUGAAGAAAAGAAGUUUUAAAAAAAAAAAAAAAAAAAAAAAAAAGUUUAAGGGUAAAAAAAAAAAAAAAAAAGCUGAAAAAUCACC